rnacentral:rRNA from 1 species
GACAGAGGGUGCAAACGUUGUUCGGAAUCACUGGGCGUAAAGCGCGUGUAGGCUGUUUGGCAAGUCGGAUGUGAAAUCCCACGGCUCAACCAUGGAAGAGCAUUCGAAACUGCCAAACUAGAGUUCUGGAGAGGAAGGCGGAAUACUCGGUGUAGAGGUGAAAUUCGUAGAUAUCGAGUGGAACACCAGUGGCGAAGGCGGCCUUCUGGACAGUGACUGACGCUGAAACGCGAAAGCGUGGGGAGCAAAC